AACGAACGCUGGCGGCAGGCCUAACACAUGCAAGUCGAACGCUGUAGCAAUACAGAGUGGCAGACGGGUGAGUAUCGCGUGGAAACCUUCCCAAUGGUGCGGAAUAGCCCAGGGAAACUUGGGGUAAUACCGCAUAAGCCCUUAGGGGGAAAGAUUUAUCGCCAUUGGAUGGGCCCGCGUCGGAUUAGCUAGUUGGUGAGGUAAUGGCUCACCAAGGCAACGAUCCGUAGCUGGUUUGAGAGAAUGACCAGCCACACUGGGACUGAGACACGGCCCAGACUCCUACGGGAGGCAGCAGUGGGGAAUCUUGGACAAUGGGCGCAAGCCUGAUCCAGCCAUGCCGCGUGAGUGACGAAGGCCUUAGGGUUGUAAAGCUCUUUUGCCGGGGACGAUAAUGACGGUACCCGGAGAAUAAGUCCCGGCUAACUUCGUGCCAGCCGCCGCCGUAA
rnacentral:rRNA from 1 species